ACGGUAUCUAUGGCUACCCAGUGUCUUCUC
rnacentral:piRNA from 1 species